UCCACACUUCAAUUUCAGAGGUGAGAAAAUUAAGUAACUUGUUCAAGUAGAAUUGAUGCCCAAGAAGAUGCCCAAGUAGGGUUGGUGCCUAGGCCCUAUGGUUGCGGCUCAAUUCGUGCAACCUCAGUUACCAGGGGGUCCCGGGGCCAGCGCGGAAUUCGCGGAAUUCACCAAGCCGCAGCUGCCUGCCGCUGAAUGCGAAGAGGGCGCAGGAGACUGGCAGGUACAGCUGGUGGUCCCUUCGGCCUGAUUUCCCUGCUGAGUGCCACAGCGUCCGAGAUCCACGACUGGCCAGGUGGAGCCACCGACUCUGAAGAGAACCAGAGGCGGACCAGCCAGGGGAGAGGGCAACCCUGGGAGCACUGCACCCUUGUCGGUCCCCUGGAAAGCUAGCGGUAAGAUCCGGGAGGCUGAAUUUGAGGCCGCGGUAGUCCAGGCGACUUCCCCUGGAAGGUGUGACGAUGACUUGUACUGCAAAAGAAGCCUAGACCAGGCCUCCGUCUGGGUGUUUUCUUUUAGGCGUUUGGAGAGGGAUGGAGAUGGUGGGUGGGGGCGAGGGGGAGGGGUAAAAAGAGGAAAUUAAAAUCCUGGAAAAGUUUAGACGCAACAGUAAAGACCAGAAGAUGGAGGGGGACAAAGUAAAACUUCCGGAUUUGGGGCCAGAGCCCCUGUGACCCAGGGAUCACUCACACCUCCUUGAGUCUCACUUUCCCCAUCUCACAGACCUGCUGAGGGGGAGUGGGGCUUGGGAUGAGCUGCCGCCAAACACUUCCGUUUCCUCAUCUUUUGCAAAGGGAAUGCAUUUGCACUAAUACCUACCAUCCAAGGGUUGAAAGAAUGAAAUGAUACAAUCCUUAUGAAGGGCUCGAAACGGGGCCUGGCACGUAUGAUAAGAGCUCAAUAAAUGUUAGUUGCUGCUACUUUGCUGUUAUUUUUUCGUUUAUACAAAGAGGAUAAUAAUUAUAUAUGUCCUGAAUGGCAGAAAAGGGGAG
rnacentral:lncRNA from 1 species